UCCCGGGUAGCUCAAUGGUGGAGCAGGAAGCUGUUAACUUCAAGGUUGCCGGUUCAAGUCCGGCCCCGGGAGCCA
rnacentral:tRNA from 1 species